AUUAUUAUAGUUUAAAAAAAAAUAUUAAAUUGCAAAUUUAAAGAUUAAUUUAAAAAUUAUAAUAAUU
rnacentral:tRNA from 1 species